GUGAGGUUCCGCCCGGUUGGCCCGAAGCUUUUUGUUGUGCAGACAUCAUGUUUGGGAGAUUGGGAACGCAUGAUGUAUCAAGGGCCCUGGCUUUUCAGGAACUUGCUUGUGUUGAUGGUCCCAUAUGAUGGAUUUACGAAGGUAGAGGAGGUGCCCAUGGUGUUCGUCCCAAUUUGGCUACAGAUUCACAAGAUACCAGAGGGCUUCUGCAGGAAGAACAUCGUGGAAAAUCUGCUGAAAAACUCUGGUGAGAUCUUGGAGAUGAGAUUAAACGGAAAUACCCGUGGUGAUUACAUUAGGGUUAGGGUUCGGCAUGACGUUCGUCGGCCCCUCACCAAGUAUGUCAGCAUUGUAAGGGGGAAAGAGUGCCAAGUCUAUUUGGUGCGUUAUGAGAAAUUGGCGCACUUCUGUAGUGUAUGUGGGCUCAUUGGUCAUGACUACAAAGAGUGCGGAUCUGGUGUGCAUGAGGAGAAGGACAAGAAGUAUAGUUCAUGGCUCUAUAUGGAUGGGCUGAAUAAACCCCCAUCCAAUGACAGUUUUGGCCGGGGCAGGAGUCAGAAACAACCUACACCUCAAUCUCAACAGUAG
rnacentral:rRNA from 1 species